CAGUCUUGCUUUUGCAAUGGGAGAUUAGAACCAAGCGUUUUGUUUUUCACCACUGAAGAUCGAGAGAUUUCUGCUCUCCCUGAAUUGGCACUGGUCUCUGUGUUAAUCACCAUCUACUAUCACAGAAUCAGCUGAAUCUUAAGAAGAAGGAGGAGGAGAAGGAGGAGGAGGAGGAGGAGGAGGAGGAGAAGAAGAAGAAGAAGAGUAUUUGGUAAAAGUAAUAAUAUUUAUAAAAAGAAGCAUGUUGUCUUUCUCCAUCCUCUGGACCAAUACAUGACAUUCUAAUUAUGAUGAGUACCUAUUGCCUUUGAUUAAUCUAUAUAGAAGUUUAGUUGGACUAGGCCUAUUUAAAGCAGAAAUACUUAACCAUCAUGCAUGGCUUUAUCAAAGAGCUUGGUACUAUUGAGGUAAUAGAUGGAAUGUCAAGAAUUAUUAGUUGCCUAAUAUACUACAUAUGACUCAGCUCUCACUCAUGUAAUGGGGCAUAAUCAUCCUAUCCUUAACAGUUCUACUUACCUUCAAAUUUUCCUAAAACGUUGAACGAAUAGGAGAUAAGAAGAAUUUUAUGCAUUAGCAUGAGCUUGCACGUACACAGACACAUUCAUGCACACAAACAUAAAGUGUCAUAAACUCAGACACUUGAUCUGUGAUAUGAGCAUCUCCUGCGGUAAAGAUGAAUUCUCCUCAUUGUGUACACAUUUAAAAAUAAGUUAAUUAGAAAUAAACCAGAAUGAUGGAGAAUGAGGGGACAGAGUAUCUACUGUAUAUUGUGCUCUUUACUGAGAUGCCAUCGACCAUCAUUCUCCUGGGAUUCAUGCCUGACUCUAUAUAGUCUUGACAGAAAUAACUAAAGAAAAAAAAAUGCCAACCUCUCUUUGUCUCAUAGGACUCACAAUAAUGCCACAGUUGUAGCAUCUCUUUUUGAAUUAUGUCAGAGUCAUUGAACUCUCCUGGCACUAGGUUAUGAAAGAGGCAAUAUGCUGAACAGAGAGAAGAGGAGGAGAGGUGUGAUUAACUGUCAAGAGAAAAGCACAGGAACAUAACUCUCCCUUCUGACAGAUGCUCCAGCUGAUGACACAGCCAGGGAAGAGCGCUGUCAGAGACAUCUGGCCAAGGGCUUCAGGCACCCUCCUACCUCCCCCAAAGAGUAGAAAGGAAAAUUCACAAAUUUCCAUCAAUUUCCAGAAUCAUGAGUCACUCAUAUGCAACCCAAAGAAUAAUUAUCUCCAUGCAAGCCAAGGCCAUUAGGAUAGAACUGAACCCAUGGAAACGGUGAUUUGAAAAUGAAAAAUAAAUAUUUUCAAUCAUCUGUCAUCGUUUCUCCUUCAUCAUCAAAUUGUGGUCUGAAAUUCAUAUUGACUGAAGCAGCCAGAAUUUAAAUCUCAAUUUGAACAUUUAUCUUCUCAUAUGGACUCCUAUCGUGUUCCCUCUAACAACUGCAAUAGGAAAUUAAGUAAAUAAAGCAAAUUUGUGGACAACUCAUAGAGUCAUCCAAUGGAAGCUUAGCAGAGAUGGAACUAGUGUGUGUUCUACUCUUCAAUAAAUGUUUGUCAAAAUUAAUUACAUGUUACAUAGGAAACUAUGCUAAAUAUAAAGAUAAAAAGCAAAGUCCUGAAGAGAAUACACAAAAAGGAAUAAUUAUUGUGUCUGUGUUUUACUUAUGCUUAUAAAAUUUCUCCUCAAUAUAGCUAACAAAUGGAUGUCUAUGACAUAGUCAGAAGAUAGUUUAAUUAAUUAAUUAAUUAAUUAAUUAAAGAAGAAACUAUAGUUUACAUCAUAUGGCCCCUUACUUGUUUUGAAUUUCAAAUGCUUAGUAUGUAUUGGAGAUUUCAGAAAUUAAAAUUUACACCAUAGGUAAUGUUAUUUUAAUCAAUCCUGUAUCAUUUAUCUUGUUCCUUUAUUAUUAUGAUAAUAAAAUGCUGCUGGGAAUUUGGA